AACAGACACACAGACAGCCCUGUGCUCAUCUCCAAAGGCUUCUAAGCAAAAGCACCUCCAACAUUCUCCCAAGAUGAAGGGCUUCUUCCUCCUCCUCCUCCUCACCCUCAGCCUUCUGUUCAUUACUCAGACGCAAGCGAAUGACAAGGCAAAUAAGACCAGCAUCGUGAAAACCAGUGGGGCCUCUGCCCUCGAUGGCCUGGGCAUGGGCAAUGUUUUCUUCCUCCUCCUGGCCGGCACCCUCCUCCACCUCUUCCAUCUUGGCUGAAGAAUCCCUCCGCCCGUCCCCAAGAAACAGCUGCCACCAUGACUAGCAAGAAGAUCCCCUCCCCAUCUAACCCUUGGGAAGGCUGGAUGCCCGAAAUCGCCAGGCUGCGGGAACCAACAGGGCAGCAUCUUGGGGGCAGUGGCUAAAGUGGAGAAGUCCUGAUGCGCAUGGGGCACCGUGCCACCCAGCUGAGGCUCAAUAAAGUUAUCCCUAUCCUUGGA